rnacentral:rRNA from 1 species
GUAGGGAAUAUUGCGCAAUGGGGGCAACCCCGACGCAGCGACGCCGCGUGGAGGAUGAAGGCCUUCGGGUUGUAAACUCCUGUCAGAGGGGAAGAAACUACCGGUUAACAGCCGGGACUGACUUAACCCUCAGAGGAAGUAGCCGCUAACUCCGUGCCAGCAGCGGCGGUAAUACGGAGGCUACAAACGUUGUUCGGAUUUACUGGGCGUAAAGAGUUCGUAGGUGGUUGGGUCUAAUUAGGUGUGAAAUACCCCAAGUUAUUUGGGGAAUGGCAUUUAAUAUUACCCGACUUGAGUGUGAAAGAGGAGAGUAGAAUGGUAGGUGGAGCGGUGAAAUGCGUAGAUAUCUACCAGAAUACCGGAUGCGAAGGCGUCUCUCUAGUUCACUACUGACGCUGAGGAACGAAAGCCAGGGGAUCAAACGGGAUUAGAAACCCGGGUAGUCC